GGCUGGAGCGGUCCCACUGACCCUCCAGCAGACGACGAAGGCUGGAGCGGUCCCUCGGACCCUCCAGCGAAGGCGGAUGAAGGCUGGAGCGGUCCCACGGACCCUCCAGCGAAGGCGGAUGAAGGCUGGAGCGGUCCCACGGACCCUCCAGCGACGACAAAGGCUGGGGCGGUCCCCGGACCCCCCAGCGAAGGCAAUCCCGGACGAGCCCCCAUAUGUUACACCCCGGCCUAGGCAACCGGAGUGCAACACGAAAAAAAGUAAAAAUAAAGAAAAAAAAACACACAAAAAACCCCCACUAAAGCUCACCACCAAAAUCCCAAAACGAAAGUAUCGACAAAUCUAUUUUACAGCUAUUUACAACAAACUAUUUAUUUACAACAAAACACCAAACUAUUUACAACACGGGGGAGAUCGCGACCAUGACACACUGAAACACAGGGUUUAAAUACAUACAGGAAGAAAGAAAAGACAGUCAUUUUCUGCAACAUUUACACUGCAAAGCAAUAUUACAGUUAAGCCUCUUAGGUCACCACUAAUGCCAGUAGGAGAGUAUUGACUGUAGUUAUCAGAAAAGCUAUCUAUUUUAUGCAGGGCAAAACACAAUAAUGAAAGAAGCAAACUAAGGCAUAGCCUUUCAGUAAAUAAUAAAUCC
ensembl:lncRNA